UUGGAGGGCAAGUCUGGUGCCAGCAGCCGCGGUAAUUCCAGCUCCAAUAGCGUAUAUUAAAGUUGUUGCAGUUAAAAAGCUCGUAGUUGAAUUUCGGGAUCAAUUUAUCGGUCGUGCCUCUGGUAUGCACUGGUAUUAUUGAUUUCUACCUUCUGACGAACCAUGAUGUCAUUUAUUUGGUGUCAUGGGGAAUCAGGACUGUUACUUUGAAAAAAUUAGAGUGUUUAAAGCAAGCACACGCUUGAAUACAUUAGCAUGGAAUAAUGAAAUAGGACGUUUGACCCUAUUUUGUUGGUUUCUAGGAUCGACGUAAUGAUUAAUAGGGAUAGUUGGGGGCAUUAGUAUUCAAUUGUCAGAGGUGGAAUUCUUGGAUUUAUUGAAGACUAACUACUGCGAAAGCAUUUGCCAAGGAUGUUUUCGUUAAUCAAGAACGAAAGUUAGGGGAUCGAAGACGAUCAGAUACCGUCGUAGUCUUAACCAUAGACUAUGCCGACUAGGGAUCGGAUGAUGUUAAUUUUUUAAUGACUCAUUCGGCGCCUUACGGGAAAC
rnacentral:rRNA from 1 species